rnacentral:lncRNA from 1 species
AUGUGGGUUUGAGAUGGAUUUGAGAUUUAUCCCUCUUAUACCCCCUAUCCAAAUCUGAUUAUAUAUAUAUAUAUAUAUUAUAAUUUUUUAUAAAAUAUAUCCUUAUAAUAUGUAGACAACAUAGCAACCAUAUUUUCAUAAAUAGAUUGACAAUUUAUUAUACCAUUUACACUCUUAUAUAUGGUAAGACCUUUUCCCACAUUGGUUGAUCAUUUCUUUUUCUUUUCACUUGGAAGGAGAGUACCCGAGGG